UCUCAAUUCUUAGUGACAAACACCAGUUUCCAUCUUAUGUUCGCACAGUAGUCAGUGAUAAGAUCCAGUAGGAUGCCAUGGUACAACUUAUCCAACACUUUGGCUGGGUCUGGAGAGGCAUCAUAGCAGCUGAUGAUGAUUAUGGAAAAUAUGGAGUAAAAACUCUUAGGGAAAGAAUGGAGAGUGCCAAUCUCUGUAUUGCAUUCUCUGAAAUCAUUCCCAAAGUCUAUUCCAAUGAGAAAAUGCACAAAGCUGUUGAAGCCAUGAAGAACUUCACUGCCAGAGUCGUUGUGCUUUAUGCAUCUGAUACUGACCUCAGUCCUUUUUGUUGGAAAUGGUUCACCAUAACAUAACAGACAGAACGUGGAUAGCAAGUGAAGCCUGGAUCACAGCAGCACUCAUUGCAAAGCCUGAAUAUUUCCCAUAUUUUGGUGGAAGCAUUGGAUUUACAAUACCAAGGGCUGAUAUACCAAGAUUAAAAGAAUUUCUUUAUGAUGUACAUCCUGGCAAAGAUCCAAACAAUGUCCUGACCAUUGAAUUCUGGCAAACUGCUUCUAACUGUACUUGACCAAAUAGCAGUGUUCCAUACAACAUUGACCACAGAGUGAAUGUAACAGGUAAGGAUGACAGAUACCAUGCCAUGUGUGAUAAAUUCUGUACUGGAGAGGAGAAGUUGGAAGAUCUUAAAAAUAUGUAUCUGGAUGUGUCUCAGCUAAGAAUCACAAACAAUGUCAAACAAGCUGUGUAUUCCAUGGCUUGGAUGGUCUAAGUAGAUGCAAAGAAGGACGUGUGCCAUACAUUCCAGGAAACACGUGGGCAUAUAUCCCUGACUUUGAGCCUUGGCAGCUAAUGUACAAUUUGAAGACACUUAAGUUUACUACCCAUAAUGGAGAGAGACUAGAAAUUGAUGAAAUGGAGAUGUGACUGGGUACUAUGAUAUUCUAAAUUGGCAAUUAGGUGAUAAUGGAGAGAUUGCCCUUGUGAAGGCUGGAGAAUAUAUAUUCACAAACUCUAAGUUUGAACUCGUGAUGAAAAAGAAUGCGACAAUAUUUUGGAACACUGAGUCAUCAAAGCUCUGACAUCUGAGAUCUCCAAACGGUCUUCCAAAUCCUAUUGGGAAAAGAUCUAAGAAUAAGUGACAAGGAAAUUAAGAUUGCUGAGCUCCUAUGCUGUGCCAGACACCUCCAAGACCAUUUUUUUCUUUUUAACCUCUCUUUUCAUCUCUCUUCUUUUUUUACGCUCCACUUUCCAUGGGUGGCAAUAAACAUAUAUAAACUCAUGCAAACUCACAAAAGCAUACACACAGACAUAGCAGUUCCUUCCUUUCCUGGCCCCUCCUUAGGCAGCACUCGGAUACACUAUGACAGGAUAUAAAAAUAAAAGCUACAGUGUUUGCCACUGGAGGGGCCUCAGCUCUCUUCUGCAUUUUAUUUCUUUGACCUAGAGUUGUUCUGUCCAAAUUGGUAGCCCCUAUUCACAUGUAGUUUUUAAAAUUUAAAUUAAUUAAAAUUAAAUAAAAUUAAAAAGUCAGUUCCUUAGUCAUAGUGGGGCACAUUUCAAGUGUUCAACAUCCACCUGGGGCUAGGAGCACCAUAUUGGAUGUAUAACACUUCUGUCAUUGCAGAAAGACAGAGCUGCCCUAGGCCUAGAGUACAAACUAUCUUCUGUGGUCUAGAACUCUCCAUGAAUGGGGCCUGAGACUUUUCACUUUGUAUUCCUACUGUUAGGCAUAAAGUAGGUACUCAAUAUAAUGUUUUGCAUGAAACAGAGAAGAUGUUAUUGCUUGUAUAGACAAGGUUCAUAGAAUGCUGUUCUACUAAAAAUUGAUGUAAGAAGAGUAAAAUGAUAUAGUAGAUUUCUAUUUUAAUAAUGUUUCAUCAGAGCAUGCCUGUUUCUCCCUCUCUCGCUCCCCCUGCUUGU